rnacentral:rRNA from 1 species
GACGAACCGAGCGAACGUUGUUCGGAAUCACUGGGCUUAAAGGGCGCGUAGGCGGCUUACCAAGUCAGGGGUGAAAUUUUGCGGCUUAACCGUAACAGUGCCUUUGAUACUGGUAGGCUCGAGGGGGACAGGGGUCCGCGGAACUUCUGGUGGAGCGGUGGAAAAUGCGUUUGAUAUCAGAAGGAACGCCGGUGGCGAAAAGCGGCGGACUGGGAUCCUUUCUGACGGCUGAGGCGCGAAAGCUAGGGGAGCAAACGGG